rnacentral:tRNA from 1 species
GGGAUUGUGGCUCAGCGGUAGAGUGCUUGCCUAGCAUGCAUGGGACCCUGGGUUCGAUCCUCAGCACCA